rnacentral:rRNA from 1 species
GACUAACGCUGGCGUCGUGCUUAACACAUGCAAGUCGAACGAAGUGCCGAACGGGUGAGUAAUACGUGGGUAACCUGCCCUCCUUUUUCUGAUAAGCCUUGGAAACGGGGUCUACUACCGAAUAAAGGGGGAUGGGCUCGCGGCCUAUCAGCUUGUUGGUGGGGUGAUGGCCUACCAAGGCGGUGACGGGUAGCCGGCCUGGGAGGGUGACCGGCCACAUUGUGACUGAUGUACGGACCAGACUGCUACGGGAGGGAGCAGUGGGGGAUAGUGCAAAAUGGGCGAAAGACUGAGGCAGUGAGGCCGCGGGGGGGAUGAAGGGUUCCGGGGUGUAAACCUCGUUGGAUAACGAGCCGGUAGGUGGAGAAGAAGCGCAGGCCAACUACGUGCCAGCAGCCGCGGUAAUAC